ACUGUGAGACAAACCAAGCAAAGUGUUAGUUCAUGGGUCACUGUAGAUCUUCAAGAGAUUAGCUCUAAGAAGCUGGCAGUUAUCCUUCAUACUUAAACACUGCCAAAGACCUUUGAUCAGUUACACUUCAGGAGUUUGACCCAUACCUUUGAGUGUUCUGAAAGGAAGUCUGGAAGGAGAUAUAUUUGUGCCAAUAGCUCCGUGUAAUCACAACACCGAAAAUAAUAAAUAUGGGAAAGAAUAUUUUCAAGAGUGAAAUCUUCCAAAGCUUUUUGAUGUUCUGAAAUAAACAAAACCAUCUUAAUUACUUUUA